rnacentral:tRNA from 1 species
GGAGGGGUGGCAGAGUGGUUUAUUGCGGCGGUCUUGAAAACCGUUGGCUGAUGAGGCCCGGGGGUUCGAAUCCCUCCCCCUCCGCCA